CUGGAGAUCCCUGCCUACUUGGGUCCUUCUGAAGCCAUUGCAGAAGGAUCCUGCUCAGCUGGAGUUCUGACCCAUAUUUUCCCGGCUGCAGUCCAAAUUGGGUUGCUAAAAGGGUUACAGCUGUGUGAUGGAGAUUGCUCAGGAAAUGCUGCUGGGAUGGGUGAUGUAAGAACACUGAUGAGGAAGGAGAAGGCAGUAACCAUCCCCACCUGGAGGCUCACAACCAUUUGCAGCCCAUGGUUUUGCUCUUCGAUACUGAUGCCUCAAGGGAAGAUCCUAUAUGGUAACUCUGAAUACCUGAAUGGUUCUCUCUUUAGAAAAAUACAUUACUUAGAAAGGCCCAACAUGAAUUUUUAUCACAUAUGCAUCGUUGUAAUAGCUGUGGAUGUUCAGCUGGCUUCACUUUUAUGAACUCUGGGGAUCCUCAAAGCGUGAGUACAAGAGACACAAAGCCAGCAAAACCUCAACAGUCCCCAGCAUAAACAAAUUUAAUGAGAAGAAAAGAGUCAGCAAUCAUUUCAUCUUCCCUGCAAAGCCUGCUUGUCUGAUAAGGAAAACAACAUCCAGGCCACACAGCAAGACACCCAGACUUUGUGCUCCUGCUAAAGAGAGAGGGAACAGAAGGGACUGACGAAGGAAAUGAAGCUACCUACUUGCUACAAUACUGAAGAUUUUCAUCUUUGCAGGCUGCUGGUGACAUUCAUCGAUCUAUCCUUCAGAUUAUUACUUCUACACUCUUGCACGCUUGUAGCAACUGCGUGUUUCUAAGUCAGAAUCAGUAUGUUUUUCUCUGAUCAACAGCUGCUUGUCUAAUGGUGGAACAUGAAAGAUUCACAGAACUGAAGCUUGGUGACUCACCGCCUAUUGAUGACCCUCAGUGUUGACCAAAAGUCACAGGGUAAAGCGUGAUUGAGGUAGUAGAUGUUCACCUGCCUUUUAUACAAGGUGUAGGAAUUCCUCUGUGCUUGGAGAAGCGACUUGCUUGGACAGGACAGCAAGGAAUAUGGAAAGCCUGACCUCACAGUGCCAUUUUGUGUUGCUUUGUGAAGCACAUUACUAUUGAAAUCACAUUACCAAGCAACUAUUGUCCUUUUCAAGAGGAAAGAGGAGGACAGGAACCAGAAUGAAGCAAGGAGAAUGAAAUUUAAAGUAUUAUGACACACAUAUAUUUAAUAGUACAUCACGCGUAAGGAAACAAGCACAUACGAUCGCAAUAUUACAAGAUGAACACAGGUCCUACAAUGUUAAAUUUAGUGCCUUGUGAUUGAUGUUCCUUUGUUUGCAGGUUUUUUGUAUACAUUAUUUCUGUAGAUAAGCAUCUUAGCGGCUGGAGGAAACAUACAACUUUUUUAUUUUCUAGUGUGUAAUUUCUGUUUGAUUCACAGCUAAUAAAUAGGUCAUCUUGUACUUUCGAAAUGCCAACAUGCAGUAAUUCAGUGAAAUAGAGACUCUACAUUAAAAAGCUGUCAGCCUUGGUGCAAUUUUCUGCACCCAACGCUCCAGAAAGAUACCUUGUCACUCAUGGUUCGGCUCUGUUUUCCUGAAAUAUCUCUUCUUCUGCAUAAAUAAUGAAUAUAGUUGCAUGGAAAUAUCUGGCACAACGCCUGUUCUUCCUCCCACUCUAAGGAGCUGCACUGCACACUCUGUAUUUAUUGGUUGAUCUUCCCAACAAAUCUUUCUGAAAUCACAGGUGUGGUAAUAGUGGGGUCCCCUCCCAUCUGCAGGCAGGUGCUCUCAGCUGUGCUAAUCACAUCCCAGGAACACUGCCUUGAAAUGAUCUGCUGCUAUUGAGCUACUUCCCCAGACAUAAAGGCUACAUGACAGAGAAUUAUUUUAAACACUUAUUUGCUUUCAUUCUCUUUCUAAUGUGUUGUGGAACUCUUGCAUUAAAAAAGUAGCAGGAUGACACAGACCCAGUUGGGGACAAUGCCUUCAAGGGAUUCCACUUUCAGAGAUAAUUUUCAGAAGUCGUAUAGGCAAAAGUCUGCAGUAUGUUUAAUCCACCAUUGCAGCAAACAGAUGAAGUUCCAAGGCAAAGGUUUAAUCCUGCAGGUGUUACUUACAA